ensembl:miRNA Mir7656 microRNA 7656
UGUGGGAUCAGAUGGCCUGUUAGUGUUAUCCUACACUGGUACAGGCUGUCUGAUCCCACGGU